CAUGCACAGAAGUUGCCCUUUAAACACCAAAUCUUACGGAUGACUAGCUCCUUCCUUCCUUUCUAACGCCAACAUGCUGCUCCUUUUUAUACAGAUGAGCAUUUCAAUGAUGCAACAACAGGACAUUUUGUUUGACAGAGUGCCUGCCUAUUAGAGAUGGAGACUUGAUCUCUUGAUCUUGGUCUGAAUCUUAGCAUUAGUAGGCUAUGAAUUUUGGUCUGUAUUGUAAGUCUUCUUCUGGGUCUUGAGUUGGGGCAAGACCAUGCAAGGUCUCGGACAUGACGAAGUUUUCUCUUUCCAGCAUGCACACUCCACUUCAUCACUCGUCUGUGCUAAAACGUUUCCGCUGCAAUUCUUUUAUUGCGUAUGCCGUUCUCUACCACGUGGCUUCUUAGUAAACUGGCGUUUGAAGAAGAAACGGUGACUUCACCUAAUGUCCCCCAAACUGCAAUUCGUUAUUGAACAUUUGGAGCUACUGUGAAAUUCGUAUUCGAAAACUUGAAGAGGACUGUGGACACAAGAAAUGAAGGGUAACGUGCAAAAUGUGUAAGCCAUCUCUGCGAAUGUCAAGUGUGACGUACGCUGCAGCUUUCGGCGCGUAGCUACGGCGACGGCGGUGUGUUUUCGAAGCCAACUCGUUUACCAGCAGCUUCACCUAGUUCCUGGAGCUGCCAAUCCAAGGGGGUCAAGUCCGUUGGUCCCCGAGGACAGGAUGCAAGCGUUCUGGAGGCUUUCAAACUCAGGCAUCAGAGAGGCUCGAUAUUCACCAGGGCCCCAUAAAUAAAUGAUUUAUCCAUCUUCUCUGUAGCAUUGACUGCAUGAAAUAUCAAACGCUAUUAUACAACCAAAUCAUGGCCUAUACCAAUGAGUUCCAGCUGUUCUGCUUUUGGACACACAUUGCUUUGUCAUUUCCAGUUCUUAAUUUGUACCAUUAUUUGGCACGACUGAUUGGUGAAACAAAUAAUACAUCUUUUUAUCUGUAAGCACUGGCCCCCCACCCCCACUCCACUCCACUCCGCAGUCAUGACAGUCAUGUGAAUGAUAUUACCAAGAUCUCCUUAUGCUGUAAAUAAGACAAUGUGUGUAUAUAAAUGUAUUUUAUGGAUAUACAAUGAUAUAUCUUUUUUGUUAGCCUGGUCAUAUUUAAGGUGGAGAGUUGCAGGGAAUG